rnacentral:rRNA from 1 species
CGGCGGACGGGUGAGUAACACGUGGAUAACCUACCUAUAAGACUGGGAUAACUUCGGGAAACCGGAGCUAAUACCGGAUAAUAUUAUGAACCGCAUGGUUCAAAAGUGAAAGACGGUCUUGCUGUCACUUAUAGAUGGAUCCGCGCUGCAUUAGCUAGUUGGUAAGGUAACGGCUUACCAAGGCAACGAUGCAUAGCCGACCUGAGAGGGUGAUCGGCCACACUGGAACUGAGACACGGUCCAGACUCCUACGGGAGGCAGCAGUAGGGAAUCUUCCGCAAUGGGCGAAAGCCUGACGGAGCAACGCCGCGUGAGUGAUGAAGGUCUUCGGAUCGUAAAACUCUGUUAUUAGGGAAGAACAUAUGUGUAAGUAACUGUGCACAUCUUGACGGUACCUAAUCAGAAAGCCACGGCUAACUACGUGCCAGCAGCCGCGGUAAUACGUAGGUGGCAAGCGUUAUCCGGAAUUAUUGGGCGUAAAGCGCGCGUAGGCGGUUUUUUAAGUCUGAUGUGAAAGCCCACGGCUCAACCGUGGAGGGUCAUUGGAAACUGGAAAACUUGAGUGCAGAAGAGGAAAGUGGAAUUCCAUGUGUAGCGGUGAAAUGCGCAGAGAUAUGGAGGAACACCAGUGGCGAAGGCGACUUUCUGGUCUGUAACUGACGCUGAUGUGCGAAAGCGUGGGGAUCAAACAGGAUUAGAUACCCUGGUAGUCCACGCCGUAAACGAUGAGUGCUAAGUGUUAGGGGGUUUCCGCCCCUUAGUGCUGCAGCUAACGCAUUAAGCACUCCGCCUGGGGAGUACGACCGC